UUGGUGGUACAGUGGUUAGCAAACUGCCUUCCAAGCAGUUGACCCGGGUUUGAUUCCCGACCAACAAA
rnacentral:tRNA from 1 species